GUACACACCGCCCGUCGCUGCCCGGAACUGAGCCAUUUCGAGAAAAAUCGGGACUGACUGCUUGUGGUGCGCAAGCAUUACCUGCAGGUGGAAACGAUCUUGAUCGGUAUGGCUUGAACCGGGCAAAAGUCGUAACAAGGUUUCCGUAGGUGAACCUGCAGAAGGAUCA
rnacentral:rRNA from 1 species